GUGCCCCACGGUGCCCCACAGCGCAUUUCCUCCCCCGCAGCAAAACCCUCCAUGCAAAUUUCGUUUCCGCUUUCCCCAGACGCCGCCCCACAGCCGCGGGGCACAGCCUGCCCCUAUAGGGCACAGCUUUUCCCUAUGGGGCACAGCCUGCCCCUAUAGGGCACCGCCUUCCGCUAUAGGGCACAGCCUUCCCCUAUCCUUCCCCCAUAGGACACAGCCUUCCCCUAUAUGACACAGUUUUCCCCUAUAGGGCACAGCUUUCCCCUAUAGGACACAGUUUUCCCCCAUAGAGCACAGCCUUCCCCUAUAGGACAGUUUUCCCCCAUAGAGCACAGCCUUCCCCUAUAGGGCACAGCUUUUCCCUAUGGGGCACCGCCUUCCCCCAUAGCACACCGCCUUCCCCAUAGGGCAGGGCGUUCCCCCAUAUCUGUGGGGCGGCGCUGAGCCGCGCUCCACCCUUUCCCCUGAAAAAACCCCACAACGACGGAAGGAAACGCGCGGCCUCCACCGCCCUCCCGAGGGGCAGAAGUGUGGGGCGGGAUGUGGGGCGGCCCCAUGGAUGUGUGGGGCGGGAGGCGGAAAACCCCGUGAGCGUCACAUGGGAGAGGGGGGGAGGGGGGAGGGAAGCGCAGUGCGGGGAGAUGGGGGGCGGGGGGGCCGCCCCAUAGCCAGGGGACCCCGGGACCUAUGGGAUCUAUGGGAUCUAUGGGAUCUAUGGGGCACCCAGUGGCUGCGCAGACCCCAAUGUCUGUGGGGGACCCCGAAAUCCAUGGGGCGCCCCACGGCCGCAGGGACCCCCGGGCCACGUGGGGAGCCCGUAAUGAGCGCCUAUAGGGGACCCCAAUACCCACGGGGGACCCCAACAAACACCUAUGGGACCCCAACACCCAUGGGACCCCAACAAACACCUAUGGGACCCCAACACCUAUGGGACCCCAACAAACACCUAUGGGACCCCAAAACCUAAGGGACCCCAAAACCUGAGGGACCCCAACAUCUAUGGGACCCCAACAUCUAUGGGACCCCAAAACCUAUGGGACCCCAACAUCUAUGGGAUCCCAAUAAACACCUAUGGGACCCCUACAGCUAUGGGAUCCCAAAACCUAAGGGACCCCAAUGUCUACGGGGCCCCAACAUCUACAGGACCCCAACACCAUGGGACCCCAACAUCUAUGGGACCCCAACAAACAUCUAUGGGACCCCAACAUCUAUGGGACCCCAAUAAACACCUAUGGGACCCCAAAACCUAUGGGACCCCAACAGCUAUGGGACCCCAAAACGUACAGGACCCCAACACCUAUGGGAUCCCAAUAAACACCUAUGGGACCCCAACAUCUGUGGGACCCCAACACCUAUGGGACCCCAACAAACACCUAUGGGACCCCUGGACCUAUGGGACCCCAAUAUCGGGAAACCCCGACAUCCGUGGGGACCCCAAAGUCCACGGGGAGCCCCGAUCCCGAGGGGGGACCCCAGUGUCGGUGGGUGACCCCAAUGUCGGUGCCGACCCCAAUGUCGGUGCUGACCCCAAAGUUUGUAGCUGACCCCAAAGUCGGUACUGACCCCAAUAAUGGUGCUGACCCCAAAAUCUGUGGCUGACCCCAAAGUCGGAGCUGACCCCAAAGUCGAUGGGUGACCCCAAAGUCUGUGCUGACCCCAAAGUUUGUGGCGGACCCCAAUGACGGUGCUGACCCCAAAGUCGGCGGGUGACCCCAAAAUCUGUGGCUGACCCCAAUGUCGGUACCGACCCCAAAGUCUGUGCUGACCCCAAAAUCUGUGGCAGACCUCAAUGAUCGGUGCUGACCCCAAUGUCGGUACCGACCCCAAAGUCGGCAGGUGACCCCAAUCCCUGCGGCUGACCCCAAAGUCGGAGCUGACCCCAAAGUCGAUGGGUGACCUCAAAGUCUGUGCUGACCCCAAAAUCUGUGGCUAACCCCAAAGUCGGAGCUGACCCCAAAGUCUGUGCUGACCCCAAAGUUUGUGCUGGACCCCAAUGACGGUGCUGACCCCAAUGUCGGUACCGACCCCAAAGUCUGUGCUGACCCCAAAAUCUGUGGCUGAGCCCAAAGUCGGGGCUGACCCCAAAAUCUGUGGCUGACCCCA
ensembl:lncRNA